CCUACGGGUGGCAGCAGUGAGGAAUAUUGGUCAAUGGCCGAGAGGCUGAACCAGCCAAGUCGCGUGAGGGAUGACGGCCCUACGGGUUGUAAACCUCUUUUGUCGGGGAGCAAAGAGAGUCACGUGUGGCUCAUUGAGAGUACCCGAAGAAAAAGCAUCGGCUAACUCCGUGCCAGCAGCCGCGGUAAUACGGAGGAUGCGAGCGUUAUCCGGAUUUAUUGGGUUUAAAGGGUGCGCGGGCGGGGGUUUAAGUCAGUGGUAAAAUUUCGGGGCUCAACCCCGUACUGCCAUUGAAACUGCAUGCCUUGAGUGCGCGUGAGGUAUGCGGAAUGCGUGGUGUAGCGGUGAAAUGCAUAGAUAUCACGCAGAACUCCGAUUGCGAAGGCAGCAUACCGGAGCGCAACUGACGCUGAUGCACGAAAGCGUGGGUAUCGAACAGGAUUAGAUACCCCGGUAGUC
rnacentral:rRNA from 1 species